CUUUAUUCCUCUGGCUGCACCUCAGAAGAGCCCACCCCUCUCAUGUGGGACACAUCUCUGCAGAAGUUUUCAUUUCUGGUGUGUCCCCAGUGGGGAGAGGCAAGUGUGGGAUGCUGGAUGCCCUGGGACAGAACUGUAGACUCUGCUAGGCACCUUCCUUCUCUGGGAAGCCUGCCCUGGUCCGUGUGGAGGACGACAAAGGAAAGCACACGCUGAGGUCCCGAGAAGAGAGCCUUCCUCCAUCACUCGGUGACAGGGAGUGGAACCGAUUAGCCCAUUCUGAGGCUGCCUGCGUGCCGGCCCAUCUUUGAUCCUCACAGCACUUUGCAAGCCUGGCGAUGGCACCGAGUUAGACAACGGAUGACGUCACGCCUCCUGUCCGCCUCUCCGGUGGGCUUCCUGCACGUGGCAGACGAGAUGGCUGCUAGCGCCAUCCUUUCAAAUUGCAAGUCACAGUCCGUUAAAUGUGCCAGGAAAUCAAUGUAGUAGGUCAUGGCCAGAGUUUAAAAAAUGAAGAAUAAAAUCGAAAAUGUUUACAGUG